rnacentral:rRNA from 1 species
GGUUAAGCGACUAAGCGUACACGGUGGAUGCCCUGGCAGUCAGAGGCGAUGAAGGACGUGCUAAUCUGCGAUAAGCGUCGGUAAGGUGAUAUGAACCGUUAUAACCGGCGAUUUCCGAAUGGGGAAACCCAGUGUGUUUCGGCACACUAUCAUUAACUGAAUCCAUAGGUUAAUGAGGCGAACCGGGGGAACUGAAACAUCUAAGUACCCCGAGGAAAAGAAAUCAACCGAGAUUCCCCCAGUAGCGGCGAGCGAACGGGGAGGAGCCCAGAGCCUGAAUCAGUGUGUGUGUUAGUGGAAGCGUCUGGAAAGGCGCGCGAUACAGGGUGACAGCCCCGUACACAAAAAUGCACAUGCUGUGAGCUCGAUGAGUAGGGCGGGACACGUGGUAUCCUGUCUGAAUAUGGGGGGACCAUCCUCCAAGGCUAAAUACUCCUGACUGACCGAUAGUGAACCAGUACCGUGAGGGAAAGGCGAAAAGAACCCCGGCGAGGGGAGUGAAAAAGAACCUGAAACCGUGUACGUACAAGCAGUGGGAGCA